AUUGAACGCUGGCGGCAGGCCUAACACAUGCAAGUCGAGCGGAUGAAGGGAGCCUGCUCCUGGAUUCAGCGGCGGACGGGUGAGUAAUGCCUAGGAAUCUGCCUGGUAGUGGGGGAUAACGUCCGGAAACGGGCGCUAAUACCGCAUACGUCCUGAGGGAGAAAGUGGGGGAUCUUCGGACCUCACGCUAUCAGAUGAGCCUAGGUCGGAUUAGCUAGUUGGUGGGGUAAAGGCCUACCAAGGCGACGAUCCGUAACUGGUCUGAGAGGAUGAUCAGUCACACUGGAACUGAGACACGGUCCAGACUCCUACGGGAGGCAGCAGUGGGGAACAUUGGACAAUGGGCGAAAGCCUGAUCCAGCCAUGCCGCGUGUGUGAAGAAGGUCUUCGGAUUGUAAAGCACUUUAAGUUGGGAGGAAGGGCAGUAAGUUAAUACCUUGCUGUUUUGACGUUACCAACAGAAUAAGCACCGGCUAACUUCGUG
rnacentral:rRNA from 1 species